AUGCUGAUAGUAUACAAGUACAACUGCCUUCCAAGCAGGAAGCCCAAAUCGGUCAGCAUA
rnacentral:tRNA from 1 species